GCGGAUGUAGCCAAGUGGAUCAAGGCAGUGGAU
rnacentral:tRNA from 7 species